rnacentral:rRNA from 1 species
CCCUUAGAUGUUCUGGGCUGCACGCGCGCUACACUGAAGCGUUCAACGAGUAUUCACCUUGCCCGGGAGGGUUGGGUAAUCUUUUGAAAACGCUUCGUGAUGGGGAUAGAUUAUUGCAAUUUUUGGUCUUCAACGAGGAAUUCCUAGUAAACGCAAGUCAUCAACUUGCAUUGAUUACGUCCCUGCCCUUUGUACACACCGCCCGUCGCACCUACCGAUUGAAUGGUCCGGUGAAGCCUCCGGAUUGGCGCGCACCUCGGUGCCGCCGAGAAGUUGGCUAAACCUUACCAUUUAGAGGAAGGUGAAGUCGUAACA